AUUGAACGCUGGCGGCAGGCUUAACACAUGCAAGUCGAGCGGAGAUGAGGUGCUUGCACCUUAUCUUAGCGGCGGACGGGUGAGUAAUGCUUAGGAAUCUGCCUAUUAGUGGGGGACCACAUUCCGAAAGGAAUGCUAAUACCGCAUACGUCCUACGGGAGAAAGCAGGGGAGUUUCGGAUCUUGCGCUAAUACAUGCGCCUAAGUCGGAUUAGCUAGUUGGUGGGGUAAAGGCCUACCAAGGCGACGAUCUGUAGCGGGUCUGAGAGGAUGAUCCGCCACACUGGGACUGAGACACGGCCCAGACUCCUACGGGAGGCAGCAGUGGGGAAUAUUGGACAAUGGGGGGAACCCUGAUCCAGCCAUGCCGCGUGUGUGAAGAAGGCCUUAUGGUUGUAAAGCACUUUAAGCGAGGAGGAGGCUACUGAGACUAAUACUCUUGGAUAGUGGACGUUACUCGCAGAAUAAGCACCGGCUAACUCUGUGCCAGCAGCCGCGGUAACAC
rnacentral:rRNA from 1 species